rnacentral:rRNA from 1 species
GAUGAACGCUGGCGGCGUGCCUAAUACAUGCAAGUCGAGCGAACAGAUGAGGAGCUUGCUCCUCUGACGUUAGCGGCGGACGGGUGAGUAACACGUGGAUAACCUACCUAUAAGACUGGGAUAACUUCGGGAAACCGGAGCUAAUACCGGAUAAUCUAUUGAACCGCAUUGUUCAAUAGUGAAAGACGGUUUUGCUGUCACUUAUAGAUGGAUCCGCGCCGCAUUAGCUAGUUGGUAAGGUAACGGCUUACCAAGGCAACGAUGCGUAGCCGACGUGAGAGGGUGAUCGGCCACACUGGAACUGAGACACGGUCCAGACGCCUACGGGAGGCAGCAGUAGGGAAUCUGCCGCAAUGGGCGAAAGCCUGACGGAGCAACGCCGCGUGAGUGAUGAAGGUCUUCGGAUCGUAAAACUCUGUUAUGAGGGAAGAACAAAUGUGUAAGUAACUAUGCACGUCUUGACGGUACCUAAUCAGAAAGCCACGGCUAACUACGUG